rnacentral:tRNA from 1 species
GGAAGCAUAACUCAAUAGGUAGAGUAAUCUACUUUUAACAGAUUAAUCCUGGU